AUGGAGCGAUAUUGCUCGACAUCGCCAUCGGAAACCGCCGGCGGCGACGCUGAAGCCAAACCCACGGAGAUCACAACGAACGACGUGGCGUCCGCGCUGGAGCCCGCCUCAAGCAGCGCCGCGGCGGCACCCUUCUCCGGUGAGCCCGCUGACGCCGUUCCGCCGCCGGCCGCUGGACACCAACCCGGGCCGGCGGAGCCGGGCUGGAUACGCGAAAAGCUGGGCCUCCAGCCCGACCACCCGCUCCACUUCAUCGCCGAGAAGCGCGUCCAGCGGACGGACCUCGAUCUGCAGCAGGGCCGCUUGUCCAUGCCGCACGGCCAUGCCGUCGGCCGCCUCCUCCGGCUCCUCUCCGACGAGCAGCGCCGCGCCGCCAAGCUGGAAAACCCCCGGGAGAGGACGGAACCGCAGGCGUGCCGCAGGGCGCGGGGGAAGAAGCCCGGCGGGCUCGUCGUGCCGGUCUACGUCAACCGCGCCGGCGACCGGAUGGAUGGUCAGCUGACACGGUGGGAUUCUAGCGGCAGGACGGUGCUGAAAUUCGGAGACCACGGGAGUUUCAUCAACACGAGUGGCAUGGAAGCGAUGGAUGAGAUCCAGAUAUGGGCGUUCCAGCGGGACGGCGGCCCAUGCUUGGUGAUUCACAAGGCCAGCGACGAUGAGACGACGGAAGACGCCACCAGAUGCGGCAGCAGGAGAGCAACAAAGCAAGUCGUCUAG
rnacentral:rRNA from 1 species